UACAGAGGUGGCAAGCGUUGUCCGGAUUUAUUGGGCGUAAAGAGCUCGUAGGCGGUUUGUCGCGUCUGCCGUGAAAGUCCGGGGCUCAACUCCGGAUCUGCGGUGGGUACGGGCAGACUAGAGUGAUGUAGGGGAGAGUGGAAUUCCCGGUGUAGCGGUGAAAUGCGCAGAUAUCAGGAGGAACACCAGUGGCGAAGGCGAGUCCCUGGACAAUACCUGACACUGAGGCACGAAAGCUAGGGGAGCAAACAGG
rnacentral:rRNA from 1 species